rnacentral:miRNA from 2 species
CUUACCAGAUUGUAUUGUAAUU